UACGUAGGGUGCGAGCGUUGUCCGGAAUUAUUGGGCGUAGAGAGCUCGUAGGCGGCUUGUCACGUCGGAUGUGAAAGCCCGGGGCUUAACUCCGGGUCUGCAUUCGAUACGGGCUGGCUAGAGUGUGGUAGGGGAGAUCGGAAUUCCUGGUGUAGCGGUGAAAUGCGCAGAUAUCAGGAGGAACACCGGUGGCGAAGGCGGAUCUCUGGGCCAUUACUGACGCUGAGGAGCGAAAGCGUGGGGAGCGAACAGG
rnacentral:rRNA from 1 species